rnacentral:rRNA from 1 species
GGACGAACGCUGGCGGCGUGCCUAAUACAUGCAAGUUGAGCGAUGAAGAUUGGUGCUUGCACCAAUUUGAAGAGCAGCGAACGGGUGAGUAACGCGUGGGGAAUCUGCCUUUGAGCGGGGGACAACAUUUGGAAACGAAUGCUAAUACCGCAUAACAACUUUAAACAUAAGUUUUAAGUUUGAAAGAUGCAAUUGCAUCACUCAAAGAUGAUCCCGCGUUGUAUUAGCUAGUUGGUGAGGUAAAGGCUCACCAAGGCGAUGAUACAUAGCCGACCUGAGAGGGUGAUCGGCCACAUUGGGACUGAGACACGGCCCAAACUCCUACGGGAGGCAGCAGUAGGGAAUCUUCGGCAAUGGACGAAAGUCUGACCGAGCAACGCCGCGUGAGUGAAGAAGGUUUUCGGAUCGUAAAACUCUGUUGGUAGAGAAGAACGUUGGUGAGAGUGGAAAGCUCAUCAAGUGACGGUAACUACCCAGAAAGGGACGGCUAACUACGU